ensembl:snRNA U6 U6 spliceosomal RNA
AUGCUUACUUCAACAGCACGUAUACUAAAAAUGGAACAAUACAGAGAAGAUUAACAUGGCCUCUGAGCAAAGAUGACAUGCAAAUUCUUAAAGAGUGCCAUAAAAAC